UCCUAUAAUAUCCCAUCACAAUAAUUUCAAAUUCUACUAUAUGCCGGUAUCUUAAUAUUAUUAAACAUUUCCUUUUUUAAAUUGAUGAAAACUUUUGAAUUCAUCUAAGAUUCCUCAGGAUUGCGAAUAAUAGCUGCAAGCCUGGCAAAUUAAAAACAGACCGUUUUAUAACAAAGUCUUUGAUAUAAACUUUAACCGAAUACUGUUUCUGAAUUUUGUAAGUAGUGUAAUAGAUACACAACAUUUUUGACAGUGUUCAAAGUUUUCGCAGUCCCUGUUGUCUCCACGCUGAAAUAUUUGGACUGGUACCUGUUUCGUGUAGAGGACCGCAGUAUUGAUCACUCGGGGAGGAAAAGGCACGUUGGGGGUGGCUGGCGAACACGUGGCACUGGUCCAACUUCGAAGGGAGGAUUUUUGUGGAAGAAAAAAUGGAAGCUGGUAGACAAAUAAAUUUCGUUAAAUAUAAUUUAAAAUUAAUCUACCUUCCCAAAGAGAAGAAGGACUCACGUAUCUCCAAGAAGCUCAAAGAAGGAUACUUGAGAAUAUUCAAUAGAAAUCCUUCGAGGACCUCAGCAAUGAAAAAUAUUCAAAUAAAGCCUUAAACGUAGUCUUCGUGGUCAUGUUUACCUUCUAAUACAGCAAUUGGGAGCACACAGAGCUUACACGAGAAUAAUCUACCUUGCAACGUGCUGGGUUAUUGAUCCACUUUGGCUGAAAUGCAGAUUUCACGUGCUCGAGGGUUCCAUGCAUUUCUUUUUAAUCGCAGCAUUACUCGUGCAGUGGUAUUGCUGGAAAAGAUUAAGAAUUUAAGUGAAAAAUUGUAUAGGGUUCGAAAAGGUUUGGAAACACGGGUUUUGGGAGGUGUCGUAACAUGGUCGAUGGCUUCCAACUGGAAGACGCUAUCGGAGGAGGCGGAGGGUCUCGAGUGGAAGGAGGGAGGGGGUGGGAACGAAGGGAGAACGCAAUCAGAGGG